UACGGAGGGUGCAAACGUUGCUCGGAAUCAUUGGGCGUAAAGCGCACGUAGGCGGUCCGUUAAGUCGGGAGUGAAAGCCCUCGGCUCAACUGAGGAAGUGCUUUCGAAACUGGCGGACUUGAAUACUGGAGAGGAUCGCGGAAUUCCCGGUGUAGAGGUGAAAUUCGUAGAUAUCGGGAGGAACACCAGCGGCGAAGGCGGCUUCCUGGACACUAACUGACGCUGAGACGCGAAAGCGUGGGGAGCAAACAGG
rnacentral:rRNA from 1 species